rnacentral:rRNA from 1 species
CCGGGACCAUCCGGUAAGGCUAAAUACUCCCGAGAGACCGAUAGUGAACCAGUACCGUGAGGGAAAGGUGAAAAGAACCCCGAACAGGGGAGUGAAAUAGAACCUGAAACCAUACGCUUACAACCUGUCGGAGCGGCUUCGUGCCGUGACGGCGUGCCUAUUGAAUAAUGAGCCUACGAGUUACUAAUCACUGGCAAGGUUAAGUGCACGGAUGCACGGAGCCGAAGCGAAAGCGAGUCUGAACAGGGCGUUUAGUCAGUGGUUGUAGACGCGAAACCUUGCGAUCUACCCUUGAGCAGGUUGAAGGUUGGGUAAAACCAACUGGAGGACCGAACGAAUAAGCGUUGAAAAGCUUCUCGAUGACUUGAGGGUAGGGGUGAAAGGCUAAUCAAGCUGGGAAAUAGCUCGUACUCCCCGAAAUGCCUUUAGGGGCAGCGUUGUAAUUGAGAGUCUACUGGAGGUAGAGCUACUGAUUGGAUGCGGGGGCUUCACCGCCUACCAAAUCCUGACAAACUCCGAAUGCCAGUAGUAUGAUUUACAGCAGUGAGCGACCGGGUGCUAAUGUCCGGUUACGAGAGUGGAACAACACAGACCAGCAACUAAGGUCCCCAAGAGUAUACUAAGUUGAUCUAACGAUGUUUUGCUGCAGAGACAGCUAGGAUGUUAGCUUGGAAGCAGCUAUUCAUUCAAAGAGUGCGUAACAGCUCACUAGUCGAGCGGCAAAGCGUGGAUAAUAAACGGGCAUCAAGUAUACCACCGAAGUUCUGGGCACGAAAGUGCGGUAGGGGAGCAUUCCAUUCCGCGUUGAAGCCGAACCGUGAGGUUUGGUGGAGUGUAUGGAAAAGCAAAUGUAGGCAUGAGUAACGAUAAUGCGGGAGAGUAACCCGCACACCGCAAGACCAAGGUUUCCUGAUCAACGCUAAUCGGAUCAGGGUUAGUCGGGUCCUAAGGGUAAGCCGAACGGUGAUCUCGAUGGAUAAUCGGUUAAUAUUCCGAUACUGACAUAUACCUCGAUGGAGAGACGAAGGAACGUAAGUGCCGCCACCUGACGGAAUAGGUGGUUAAAGGGCUUAGGUAUAGGGACAGAUUAAGAGUUAGUCCUUGCUGAAACCUGACAGUACAGAGAGCCUACGGGCAAUUUGAUAGUGCACCCAAGUCGACUUCCGAGAAAAUCUUCUAAGUUAUAGUAUAUGUCACCCGUACCGUAAACCGACACAGGUGGUCGAGGAGAGUAUCCUAAGGUGCUCGAGUGAAUCACGGUUAAGGAACUAGGCAAAUUAACCCCGUAACUUCGGGAAAAGGGGUCCCAUCGCGAGGUGGGCGCAGCGAAGAGGUCCAGGCGACUGUUUAUCAAAAACACAGGGCUCUGCAAAUUCGAAAGAAGACGUAUAGGGCCUGACACCUGCCCGGUGCUGGAAGGUUAAGAGGGGAUGUCAUCGCAAGAGAAGCAUUGAAUCGAAGCCCCAGUAAACGGCGGCCGUAACUAUAACGGUCCUAAGGUAGCGAAAUUCCUUGUCGGGUAAGUUCCGACCUGCACGAAUGGUGUAACGAUCUGGACACUGUCUCAACCGUGAGCUCGGUGAAAUUGUAGUCCCGGUGAUGAUGCCGGGUACCCGCAACGGGACGAACAGACCCCGUGAACCUUUACUAUAGCUUAACGCUGAAUUUGGGUACACAAUGUGUAGGAUAGGCAGGAGACUACGAAGCGGGCACGCCAGUGUUCGUGGAGUCGACGUUGAAAUACUGCCCUUUGUGUACUUGAGUUCUAACCCUCGAGAGGGGACACCGUUUGGUGGGUAGUUUGACUGGGGUGGUCGCCUCCAAAAGAGUAACGGAGGCUUCCCAAGGUACCCUCAGCACGAAUGGUAACCGUGCGUAGAGUGCAAUAGCAUAAGGGUGCUUGACUGUGAGACCAACAAGUCGAUCAGGUGCGAAAGCAGGGUAUAGUGAUCCGGUGGUUCUGCGUGGACUGGCCAUCGCUCAAAGGAUAAAAGGUACUCCGGGGAUAACAGGCUGAUCGCCGCCAAGAGCUCAUAUCGACGCGGCGGUUUGGCACCUCGAUGUCGGCUCGUCACAUCCUGGGGCU